AUUGAACGCUGGCGGCAGGCCUAACACAUGCAAGUCGAACGAGUGGCGGACGGGUGAGUAAUGUCUGUGAAACUGCCUGAUGGAGGGGGAUCACUACUGGCAACGGUAGCUAAUACCGCAUACCCUCAGAUGUGCCCCGAUGGGAUUAGCUAGUUGGUGGGGUAACGGCUCACCAAGGCGACGAUCCCUAGCUGGUCUGAGAGGAUGAACAGCCACACUGGAACUGAGACACGGUCCAGACUCCUACGGGAGGCAGCAGUGGGGAAUAUUGCACAAUGGGCGCAAGCCUGAUGCAGCCAUGCCGCGUGUAUGAAGAAGGCCUUCGGGUUGUAAAGUACUUUCAGUGGGGAGGCGUUACCCGCAGAAGAAGCACCGGCUAACUCCGUGCCAGCAGCCGCGGUAAUUC
rnacentral:rRNA from 1 species